GACAGAGGAUGCAAGCGUUAUCCGGAAUGAUUGGGCGUAAAGCGUCUGUAGGUGGCUUUUAAGUCCGCCGUCAAAUCCCAGGCUCAACCCUGGACAGGCGGUGGAAACUACCAAGCUGGAGUACGGUAGGGCAGAGGAAUUUCCGGUGGAGCGGUGAAUGCGUAGAGAUCGGAAAGAACACCAACGGCGAAAGCACUCUGCUGGGCCGACACUGACACUGAGAGACGAAAGCUAGGGGAGCGAAUGG
rnacentral:rRNA from 1 species